GACGAACGCUGGCGGCGUGCCUAAUACAUGCAAGUUGAGCGCUGAAGGUUGGUACUUGUACCAAAUGGAUGAGCAGCGAACGGGUGAGUAACGCGUGGGGAAUCUGCCUUUGAGCGGGGGACGACAUUUGGAAACGAAUGCUAAUACCGCAUAAAAACUUUAAACACAAGUUUUAAGUUUGAAAGAUGCAAUUGCAUCACUCAAAGAUGAUCCCGCGUUGUAUUAGCUAGUUGGUGAGGUAAAGGCUCACCAAGGCGAUGAUACAUAGCCGACCUGAGAGGGUGAUCGGCCACAUUGGGACUGAGACACGGCCCAAACUCCUACGGGAGGCAGCAGUAGGGAAUCUUCGGCAAUGGACGAAAGUCUGACCGAGCAACGCCGCGUGAGUGAAGAAGGUUUUCGGAUCGUAAAACUCUGUUGGUAGAGAAGAACGUUGGUGAGAGUGGAAAGCUCAUCAAGUGACGGUAACUACCCAGAAAGGGACGGCUAACUACGUG
rnacentral:rRNA from 1 species